GACGAACGCUGGCGGCGUGCCUAAUACAUGCAAGUUGAGCGCUGAAGGUUGGUACUUGUACCAACUGGAUGAGCAGCGAACGGGUGAGUAACGCGUGGGGAAUCUGCCUUUGAGCGGGGGACAACAUUUGGAAACGAAUGCUAAUACCGCAUAAAAACUUUAAACACAAGUUUUAAGUUUGAAAGAUGCAAUUGCAUCACUCAAAGAUGAUCCCGCGUUGUAUUAGCUAGUUGGUGAGGUAAAGGCUCACCAAGGCGAUGAUGCAUAGCCGACCUGAGAGGGUGAUCGGCCACAUUGGGACUGAGACACGGCCCAAACUCCUACGGGAGGCAGCAGUAGGGAAUCUUCGGCAAUGGACGAAAGUCUGACCGAGCAACGCCGCGUGAGUGAAGAAGGUUUUCGGAUCGUAAAACUCUGUUGGUAGAGAAGAACGUUAGUGAGAGUGGAAAGCUCAUCAAGUGACGGUAACUACCCAGAAAGGGACGGCUAACUACGUG
rnacentral:rRNA from 1 species